AGAAGGCACAAAGAGAACUCUAAAUAUCGCACUUGCGCAUUUUUCGAAUUCGUAUUCCACUAUUCCUUUACAUACCGCGAUAUGCGCUGUAGACCUUAAUCUUUUGCGAGUUUUAAUUAGACGCGUAGUCUUGUUAUCUGUCUGAAAAAUUCACAAAUUCCUUCUAUAAUUUAGAAGUCAAGAAAGGUUAAUGACACCUCCUUAUAAAGGCACGAACGACAAUUGGAUGAUUCAAACUUUCCGCGCAUCCCAGAAUGUAACUCGUCUCUGGGUAGGCCACACAGGAUUUCUUUUUCAGGGAUAAAGUAAUCCAGCUUCAAUAGGCAGUUCGUAUUGUAAUAAGGGCUUGUAGAUGGAAUUUGAGUGUAAAUUUUAUACAUUUAUUAUUUUAUUACACCUAAUCUCGGACCUUAACCAUGCAGGCGAAGUUGCGAAAAAUGUAACUAUCAGCCCUCUGGCAGGAGUCGAGCCUGCGGUCCUGGGAUUCUGGUGCAGCGCUCCAACCAACGGAGCUACAGAGGCCAGUUAUCGAGCUCUAACCGCAUGUUCAUGUUUUUACACUAAGGCCUGAUGCCAAUGAAAGGUGUGUGCGUGAAUAUCAGAAUUUUAUCUGUAUCUUUUCAGGAAUUGGAGAAGUGCUUAACCGCGAAUUGAGCCCUCAUCGUCAACUCAGUAAAGCUGCAUGCAUGUACGUCGAUUCCUGGUGAUGACUGAAGCACAGCCAAGAUAUCAAAAUGUUAGCAAAGUUAAAAUAUCAAAAUGUUCAUAUUCGGAGUUACCAAUAUUGUUUUAUAUACUCAUUUCCAAUAGUUUUUUCUGUAGUCUAUACAACUAGUAAUCAGUCUAGAUUUAAUUCUCGUGAUUUGAAUCAUGAAGAAGUAGAAGAGCGCCGAACGACACUGAUACAAGCAAAGAGCAAUUCAGUGACUGGCCUGUCAGUUUCGGCUCUAGAGCACCUAUUAGUCCGUGAGGAAAUGAAAAUUACUUAAUUGAUAAGAGAAAUGUGUGUUAUUAUGCCGGUGCGUUAUGGUGUGUGUUCAGUCUAUGCCGAUGGCUGUCUUAUUAG